rnacentral:rRNA from 1 species
UACGUAGGGUCCGAGCGUUGUCCGGAAUUACUGGGCGUAAAGAGCUCGUAGGUGGUUUGUCGCGUUGUUCGUGAAAACUCACAGCUUAACUGUGGGCGUGCGGGCGAUACGGGCAGACUGGAGUACUGCAGGGGAGACUGGAAUUCCUGGUGUAGCGGUGGAAUGCGUAGAGAUCCGGAAGAAGACCGGUGGCGAAGGCGGUCUGCUGGCGAGUACCUGACACUGAUGCGCGACAGCGUGGGGAGCAACAGG